rnacentral:rRNA from 1 species
GACAGAGGUGCCGAGCGUUAGGCGGAAUCACUGGGCUUAAAGCGUGUGUAGGCGGACUCGUAAGUGCUUUGUGAAAUCCCACGGCUCACCCGUGGAACUGCUUGGCAUACUGCGAGCCUUGAGCCACUUAGGGGCAACCGGAACAAACGGUGGAGCGGUGAAAUGCGCAGAUAUCAGGAGGAACACCUGUGGUGUAGACAGCUUACUGGACCAUUUCUGACGCUGAGACACGAAAGCGUGGGUAGCAAACAGG